rnacentral:rRNA from 1 species
ACUCCUACGGGAGGCAGCAGUGGGGAAUAUUGGACAAUGGGCGCAAGCCUGAUCCAGCCAUGCCGCGUGUGUGAAGAAGGCCUUCGGGUUGUAAAGCACUUUUGUCCGGAAAGAAAAGCCUAGGGUUAAUACCCUUGGGUUAUGACGGUACCGGAAGAAUAAGCACCGGCUAACUUCGUGCCAGCAGCCGCGGUAAUACGAAGGGUGCAAGCGUUACUCGGAAUUACUGGGCGUAAAGCGUGCGUAGGUGGUUCGUUAAGUCUGAUGUGAAAGCCCUGGGCUCAACCUGGGAAUGGCAUUGGAUACUGGCGACCUAGAGUGCGGUAGAGGGUGGCGGAAUUCCCGGUGUAGCAGUGAAAUGCGUAGAUAUCGGGAGGAACAUCCGUGGCGAAGGCGGCCACCUGGACCAGCACUGACACUGAGGCACGAAAGCGUGGGGAGCAAACAGGAUUAGAUACCCUGGUAGUCCACGCCCUAAGCGAUGCGAACU